UGGGGCACGGUGGGGGCUGGGCUGGGGGAGCGCUCAUUAACAUUCUUACAUCAGGGCUCCUCCCCGCACCCCUUCCUUUCCCACCCCUCAGCCGUCCCUAACCCCGGCUCCCCGCUAGCCCUGGGCCUUCCCUUAAAGCCGAAGUCGCCCGCGUCUACGCCGGCAGGAGCCCCCACCGCCCCGCACCGCCUCCGGGGCCCCCGCCUCUCCCCCAGCGUAGCACGGGCGCGCUCUCCCCAGCGUCCAGCCUUAAAAAUGAAAAUGCUUUCGAAAGUACAGGAAUGCGCGCAGGCACACGCACGCACGCACACCACGUGCAAAAAUAAACAGGAUCAGAGAAAGGAGUGGUCCUUCAAACAUGGUCUUUUCGGUGCAAACACCCGUAGGUCCGGCUCGCUCUCGCCUCUUCCUCACUCCGGCCACCUUCCCUCUGACACCCUCCCUUCCCCAGCACGAGGUAAGGGAGCAGGGACCCGGGACCCUGAACAGGCGGCGGGAUCGCGAACCGGGAGCGCCCCGCUGGGCUCAGCGUUCAGCCCACCCCUCCUCCCCGAGCCCAGGCCCGGCCCCCGCCCCCGCCCCCGGGCAGCGCCGGUGCCCCCCAGAGGUGUCCGCCAGAGGUGCCCGCUAAGCCUCCGCGUUGUGGGGAUGCCGGGCCCCGCGCAUAGACCCUCGGCCGCGGUGCUGCGAGCAGGAAAGCGAAACUUGUUGCUCCCAACAGCGAGCGAAGGGUUGGUCUUCUUGAGGCGGCGAAGAGCCUGAGAAGCAUCCUCCAGGCGUCCUCCGGGCCCAGACACCAAGGCCCCAAAGAGCCAUCCCUGCAAAUCGGGGUUCCAGAGACGCGGCAUCUCCAGGCGUCAGCGCUCGCCCCCAUUCAUAGCAUCCUCCGUGCAGGUCUUUCUGGAACUGAAAAUCUCUGUGAAAUAACACCCCUGCCUACAUUCAUCCUCUGCUAGCCGGCCAGACAGCGUUACAUGGGAAACCUUAGCAUGUGGUUCUUUGUUAGAAAUGCCAUCAGAGUUUUCUCCACCAACUGUCGUCCGUCUGACCUUCUCCCCAAAAUCCUGGUGGCACCCUCUAAAGUCGGAAGGAGCCCUUCCAGGUUGUCAAAGAGUCUCCUCUUCCUGUCAAGCCAUCCCUGAAGUCACACUGGAGACCGUCCCCAACACCGUAGCCCACAAAGAAAAUACCUUCCGAGGACGGAAUUGUUGAAAACACACUUCCCCCUAGAGGCAGAAAAGAUGAAACAAUAUUGCACAGAAUUCAGGAAUAUGUUUGUCGUGAAAUGAGUGCUGGGAUUUUAUUUUUAACAUGCAGUUGGUGUUUCUGAGAAAACAUUCAAGAUGUGGGAGGAAAAUCAAUGAAAAAAUUAAAACUUUGCCUCUAGGUCUUAGCUUUCCUUAGCAGGGACUCUGUUAAUUGGGCCCUUCCUUUUGUUUUGUGUUAAUACAAAUCUAAGAUUUUUUUGCCAGCACUAAAAAUAAUGGUGAUCAUGUGUUUUUUCUAGUUAGGUUUCUGAUUCAAUUUCAUCAGAAACGGCAGUCAAAUGUGGCCUUGAGGGGUGCUUUUGAAAACACGGCCCUAGCAGAUUUAUCGCCUGAUGGGUUUCUGUAUUCCUGCCCUCUUUUUUUUUUAAUUUUUUAAAACAUAUUUUAUUGAUUUUUUACAGAGAGGAAGGGAGAGGGAUAGAGAGUUAGAAACAUCAAUGAGAGAGAAACAUCGAUCAGCUGCCUCUUGCAUACCCCCGACUAGGGAUGUGCCCGCAACCAAGGUACAUGCCCUUGGCCGGAAUUGAACCUGGGACCCUUCAGUCCGCAGGCCGACGCUCUAUCCACUGAGCCAAACCAGUCAGGGCUAUUCCUGCCCUCUUAAGUUUCCAUCAACCAGUCUUAUUGUCAUUUCUUUGGAGCUGUUCUGAGACAAAAUGACAUUAGAAAGACUUCGGGAAAUACAGAGCCGGUCCGUGGUUUAACCUGAGUAUCACCAUGAGUUUUCUAGGAUUUGCAAGCCACGCGAAGAAUUCCCAUAUCACUGACUUAGGGACACAUCAUUUGAUGUAGAUUAUUCCAUUCACAAAAACAGUGGCUGGACCUCAACUUCACGCACACCAAUAUUGACUAUACUUCUUUGGUUUAUUUAGUUGUACCCUGCGUUCGUCCAGCAAGGAUUUGAGAAGACACAUAAAAAGGGAAAUUUUAGAAAAGUUUCCUCAGGCCAAAAUGCACAGCCGUCGGGUCCGACACUCUUGGGCCCGACGCUGUCCCUCCAGCCUCUACGUGACUCCAAAGCCUCCGCAGCACCAUCCUCCCCAUCCGAGUUCCAGGGUUCCCGGUCACAGCGGUUUUCUUUCCGUUUCCUGGGAGGGGUGUCUGCGUGGACCAGGCUUCGGAGCCGGAUUCCACGGAGACAGGAGGCGUUUAGAAGCCUCACAAACACGUCCUGAGGUGGUCACCGAGGCUCUUUGACCUUGUUUCCUCGCUGUUCUUCAACCUUCUCACGUCUAACACGGAGACCAUGUCAUCGGCCUGGUGUUGCAGAAGGAAGGAUCAGAAAGGAUGGAUGCCAAGUCCUUCGAAUGCAGUGGGAAGUGAAUACAUGGCAGUUCUUACAGGCCCUGGAAGGCCUGGUAAAGAGUACACGCCAAGUAAGUGUUCACGAAAUGCGAUGAAAUAAAGGAAUGACUUCCAAACCCAAAGUGAGGUGGCUCUGUGUAACUUGUUGGGAAGCAGCUAUUGUCCAAUCACAACAGACCUUAUUUAAUAACGUUGGUUUGGUGACGGUGGCUCCCCUGGGGGAACCACUUGGCAAUUACCUUGAGAUUAGCCCUGGGUUCCCACACGCAGAUGUUUCCUGGUAAGCUGGAGACAAGAGCGGGUUCAAUCGUCUUUCCUCUCUCUACAUGGUUCACAAAGACACCGGGAGCUCAGCUCCCUUACGGAGACGGAGGUACAUCAGAGUGAUUACGGAAAAAACAAACAGACAAACAAAAAACAGGAAAAAAUAGAAGUGGCUGUACAAAGGGUCGGGACUUUGAGGAUGAGGGGAGGAAUAAGCAGAGUAUAUGGAAGCAAAAGAGGAUUGUGCUAGGAGGAAUGUAUUUAAUUUCUAGAUCAAGUGUAUAUUAAUAGUGAUACAAGUGUAAAAUGUAUCCUAGUGCACUAAGUACACAGGCUACAAAGAUGUCAGGCCGGGGUUUAAUGUUCUUGUUUAAUUCAGCCUUCAAACAUCCACAGUGUGUCAAGAGCUCUGGUUCUCCAGCUUACGCCCGUUGUAUCAGACAUUCAUUUGCCUGGGGAUGUGAUUUGACCCAAGUUAUAUUUAACUCUUUGUGAUCGUCAAUCGUGUUAUGACAGCCAAACGGGCUAUGUUUAAGAGACACUUGAGCAGGACAAAAAUAUAUUCGAUUUCAAAAACAUCUUAUAAAAAUAAUUUUCCUGGUGUCAUUGCAUCAACAUAUUGAACACUUUGUGCUCUAAAUUAACCAUCAUCAAUCCGUGAGAAUAUAAACUCCAUGAGGGUUAGGAUAUUUUUCCUUUAAUCCUGCAUUCCCUCCUUCAAGAAUGAUAUAUGAAGUAGGCACUUAAAAUUUAAUUUCAUCAAUGAUAAAUCCAAAAUAAAAAUUAGCAUAUGUGUGUAAAUUCAUAUACAUAUAAACUUUUUAAAUAAUUUUCAGAAUAUUCAAAUAUUAUGUUGGAUUUCUGAUUAUGCAAAGAAUAUGAGAAGCCAAAGAUCCUAAAUACCAGCUUUGAGGUCUUAACACAUUGCUAUACCAACACCUCAUCACCUAAUUCUUGAUUGUUUCCUUGCUAAAGAGGAAAAUGCCGGAUCCCCCCAAAAAUAAAUAAGAACAUUAUUUUUUGUAAUGCUGUGAACAGAAAUUAAAGGUGAUGAGGAAAGUUUUUGUUACCGCCAUGUACAAUGUGGGAAGAUAUAGUUUUUAUUUCUUUCCAGUGAGUACAUUCCACGAGGUCUUAAAUCUUGGAUAGCUGAUGCAUGAGACUAAAAUAGAAUAGAAUGCCAUGAGGAAAACAUCAGGAAAAUUCUUAACAUUUGUCUUCUUAUAUUUUUGGUGAUCAUGUUGCUAACAUUAAAUUUCACUAUGACAUUAGUGGAGAAAAUUGUUUCAUCAAGCUUACACUGUUAUUUUAUUUUAUUUUUAAUAGCUAUGUGUUUAUCUCCAUUUUAUUAUUUAUAUAUUUUGUCUUUUCUUUUUAAAAUAUGUUGA